ACAACGUAUAUUUAUCUAUUGUCAUCAUAUUGCUAUUACAACUAACCUAACACUAUAUAAAUGAUCAAAUAAUUACCGUUGUUUUUCUCACUGUUAAGACUGACAGAAUUUAAGCGAAGCAACAUUUUUAAGAAAGGUACGAAAAGGAGAUACGAAAGACGUAGCAACAAAAAGUAAAAGUGCGAUCAUGAGGAAUGACGCGGAGCGAAAGCGUGCGUGCACGAGCAAUCUUUAUUCAAAAAGAAACGCGCCAGCACACCUGUAGCGAUGGCUGAAGAGUGAGGGCUGUACCGCAAAAGUAAAAGUGAAAAUGGUAAUGUUGCGAGAGGAGGGAGAAGAAGGAACGCACGUGCACGAGUGAGAAUGAAAGAGGACGAGUGCUACAGUGUCAUGUUUCGACAUCUUUGGGGUAUUACCGUGUUCGCAAUGUGCUUCGUCAUUUUUCGUUUAGUCUUCGUUUUCGUCUGAAGGUAGUCAUUGUCAUCAGUUGGUCCAAGAUGCAUCACAAAAAUAGGGUCGAAUUAUUCAUACCCAUUGACUGGUAUUUGUAUUAGUCGUUAUUUUUGUUGAAUUUAUUUCUCUACAUUCAAGGUUAGAUCUAGUUAAAAAUGAUAUUAGAGUUAUCAAUUUUAUUUCAGCGUUAUUCUUUCUAUGAUUUCUUGUUUAAUUCAUUUCUAACCUGUUGACUAUGCUUCCCUUUAAUUAAGAACUUAUAUAGUAAAAAUUUUGAUUUCAUUAAUGUAGGUAAAUUAUUUAAAACGGAUGGAAGACUCUUAAAUAAGAAUAUUUUUCAUUAGAAAUAUUAGCAAUUCGAAUGAUGUGUCAACUCGUUUUCCUCAGUUUAUAGGUUAACAUUUCAUUGAAUAUUUAUACCAUUCUUAAUGCCAAAUAAGAGUAGUACACUAGUACAAAUAAGAUCUACAAUAUAAUUUAGAUUUGAAUAUUUUACGAAUUCUAUGAAUAUUCUUAUGAAUCUAUCAGUAGAAGAUUCAUAUUUUUUCUGACAUUCGUGCAGAAUCUUUGUUCGUAUCGAUAAUUUAAAUGGCCAUUCUUAUAUAACUUUAGUCAGGUAAUUUCGAUUCUUAUGUAACGGGCGUAACAAUGUAGCAGACUUUAUCGAGCCGAUUAUGGACUUGGUAAUGCCCGAAAUGUUGAUAGAAGUGGAUAAUACAUUCUUAAAUACAGAAAUUACGAAAUA